GGUCAGACAACUUGGUUCGGCUAUGAGAGUCCUCGCAGUUUCUGGGAUUACAUCAAAUCCGCCUGCAGCAAAGUCCCUCAUAAUUGCAUCCGAAGCAUCGAGAGUAUGGAGAAUGUGCGAUCAUCGAGAGCUAAAGGCAGGGCGUGGAUCAGAGUGGUCCUGAUGGAGAAAAGAUUAUCAGAAUACAUCUCAUCUGCACUGAGGGACCUCAAAAUCACCAGGAGGUUUUACGAAGACGGAGCGAUCAUGCUGGGAGAGGAGGCAGGGCUGCUGGCAGACACACUCAUCGGACUCAACACCAUUGACUUGAGGUACU